UACGUGCCAGCAGCCGCGGUAAUACGUAGGGCGCAAGCGUUGUCCGGAAUUAUUGGGCGUAAAGAGCUCGUAGGCGGCUUGUCACGUCGAUUGUGAAAGCCCGAGGCUUAACCUCGGGUCUGCAGUCGAUACGGGCUAGCUAGAGUUCGGUAGGGGAGAUCGGAAUUCCUGGUGUAGCGGUGAAAUGCGCAGAUAUCAGGAGGAACACCGGUGGCGAAGGCGGAUCUCUGGGCCGAUACUGACGCUGAGGAGCGAAAGCGUGGGGAGCGAACAGGAUUAGAUACCCUGGUAGUCCACGCCGUAAACGGUGGGCACUAGGUGUGGGCAACAUUCCACGUUGUCCGUGCCGCAGCUAACGCAUUAAGUGCCCCGCCUGGGGAGUACGGCCGCAAGGCUAAAACUCAAAGGAAUUGACGGGGGCCCGCACAAGCGGCGGAGCAUGUGGCUUAAUUCGACGCAACGCGAAGAACCUUACCAAGGCUUGACAUACACCGGAAAGCACCAGAGAUGGUGCCCCCCUUGUGGUCGGUGUACAGGUGGGUGCAUGGCUUGUCGUCAGCUCGUGUCGUGAGAUGUUGGGUUAAGUCCCGCAACGAGCGCAACCCUUGU
rnacentral:rRNA from 1 species